AUGAGGGUGCCAAGAUGGCUUUUCGAGACCGCAGAUCUGUCAGACCCGCAGUCUGACAGCUCCGGACAGAGGCCGGAGGGAGGCGGGCCUGUCGGCUUUGGAACACUUUGAUCUCAGCCGGAAGAUAGGUGUUCCCGUCUCACAGGGCAGGGGGCGCCUGGAGAGCCGUAGGGUCUCUCAAUCCCCUCACCGCCGCUUCCUCACUCCUCCAAGGGAAAAAUGAAUUCGUACAUUUUUGGAGGUCCCUUUCUCUUGAAUUUUGAAUCCACCUUUCAAGAAUAAUUAUAGGGCUGGGACUGUAGAGUGCUUACCUAGUGUGCUUGAAGCCCUGGGUUCAAUCCCCAGGACCAUUUUGGAAAUGAGUCAUCACAGCCUCUGCCUUGGUGGCAUAAAUUUGUGUAUGUAUUCAAGCGAUAAAAUCAUUAUUUAACUAAAAAGAAAAAAAGGAAUAAUUGCACCAUUUUUUAAG
rnacentral:lncRNA from 1 species